rnacentral:rRNA from 1 species
UCCACGCAGUAAACGAUGAAUGUUAGUCGUCGGGGGCCUAGUGUCUUCGGUGAUGCAGCUAACGCAUUAAACAUUCCGCCUGGGGAGUACGGUCGCAAGAUUAAAACUCAAAGGAAUAGACGGGGACCCGCACAAGUGGUGGAGCAUGUGGUUUAAUUCGAAGAUACGCGAAGAACCUUACCUAGCCUUGACAUUGAUAGAAUCUUCCAGAGAUGGAGGAGUGCCUUUCGGGG